rnacentral:rRNA from 1 species
UACGUAGGGUGCGAGCGUUGUCCGGAUUUAUUGGGCGUAAAGAGCUCGUAGGCGGUUUUGUCGCGUCGGCCCGUGAAAAUCUCCACGCUUAACGUGGAGCGUGCGGUCGAUACGGGCAGACUUGAGUUCGGUAGGGGGAGACUGGAAUUCCUGGUGUAGCGGUGAAAUGCGCAGAUAUCAGGAGGAACACCCGGUGGCGA